UAGCUUUCCAUUUGUUUGUAUCCUCUUCUAUUUCUUUCAUCAGUGUUUUAUAGUUUUCCUGAUAAAGGUCUUACUUUGGUUCUUACAUUUCUCUGAUGAGUGGGUUAUGAAAGAAUCUAGGUAGAAAUAGUGACCAUGUCUAGGGAAAGAAAACUCAGAAUUUCUAAGAAGGGACGUCACAGAACUAAGUAGGGUUUCAGGACAGUUAUGCUUGCAUGUGGUUUCUUAACUGGCCUGCUGCUUCUUUCCAAAGUUUAAUCAGCCAGGUAGGUACUGAGCAUAAAUUCAGUGCUGGCACCUUUGCUGGCUGGGAUGUGAACAGAAAUAAAUAAUAUCAGGCCCUGCUUCCCCUAGGCAGCCUCCCACACAAGACCAAGUGGAUGUCUUGAUCAAGGGCAGAUUCCAUGGGCAUGGUGGAAAUCAUAAUGGUGAUGGUGAUGAUGAGUAACAUGAUAGAGUACUAACUCUAAGCCAAGCACCGUUACAAGUACUUUACAAAUAUUACUCAUUUGAUUCUUACAAACAUUCUUAUCCUCAUUUUAUAGGUGGGGAAACCAAGGCAUGGGGGAGGUGAACUAACUUGCCACACAGCUGAUAAAUACUAGAGCUGGUGAAGAAGGAGGCCGUCAGGGAAGGCUUCUGGGGAAGGUGCUGCACCUGUGCCAGGCCUGGAGCAGGUGAUAUCAAUAUGGAAGAAAGGGGAAGGCAUCACGCUUAGCUGGGGCAUGGUUUGUACUGGCUACAUGUCUCUUUGGAGUCCUGUUGCCAACCUGCCCACACUGGGCUCAGCAGCCCCAGGGAACUCUGGGCCUGCCCUGGCCUCCACCUGCCACACUGCCUUAGUGAACAUUCCCUCAGCCUGGCACAAAGCAGGAGGUUUUGGGUAGUUGCUGGACCCUUGGGACUUGAUGUUUACACCUGCUCACAGGUGGAUGCUGCUUCAACAACCACUCCUGAUUUCUUUUGAUACUUCUCUUGCUGAAAAUAGUUGAAUUACAAAAACAAUGCACAGUCAUGAUAGAAAAUGCGCAAUCAUUAUGCACGGAGUGGGAAGACAACCAGAACCGACUCCUGCUGCUUUUUCAAGUUGGAGGAGAUGACUCUCAAAAGGUUUCUUGAUGAAAUUUCCAACAUAAAAGACAAGAUCUUAUUGCUGGAAGAAGUGGAUUUUGUGAGGGAGGGCCUCAUACUCUGCAUAUGAAAACAAAGAACCUGAGGAUUUUGUUGUGUCCUCUUGGUGGCAGAAAGCAUGAUCCCGUUAAUCUGGAAGAUUUGAGGAUACUGAGAUGGCAGAAAUAUGGGCUACAAACAUAAACAAAUGGAAGAAAAUACCCCCUCUCCACCCAUCAAGAAGAAAGAGUAACUCCAAACAUUUUGAUCUGCAUGGAAGCCCUGCCCUUUGAAGUCGCUCAUGGACCCAGACUGAUAGAGGAUCUGUCUCAGCACAUGCUUCAAGAUUCUCAUACGUACAGAAAACAGAGAACAUGGUUAACCCUGAGCUGGCUCCUAAAGCUUCUUCCCAGAAGAUACACACACCACUUAGCCAAAGUAAAUCACAUAGAAAUUGUCACAGUUACCCUAGCCUUCAGCAACCAACCACCACCCUGAGCAGUCAGCAGCCAUCAAUAUUGAGGCAAGACCCUCCACCAGCAAAAGGAUUACAACUCGCUGAAGACUCAGAUGACUGUUAGCAUUUUCAGCAAUAAAGUAUUUUUAAAUUAAAGAAUGUACAUUUUUAGACAUUAUGCUAUUGUACAAUAGACUAUAGUGUAGUGUAAACAUAACUUUUUUUUUUUUUUUUGAGACAGGGUCUCAUUCUGUUGCCUAGGCUGGCGUACAGUGGCAUGAUCUAAGCUUACUGCAGCCUUGACCUAUUGGGCUCCAGUAAUCCUUCCACCUGUCAGCCUCCUAAGUAGCUAGGACCACAGGCUUGUGCCACCAUGCCCAGCUAAUUUUUGUAAUUUUUGUAG
rnacentral:lncRNA from 1 species